rnacentral:rRNA from 1 species
GAUCGGCGGAGAGGGUGCGUGGGCGCGGGAGUUGGGAGCAGGAGGGCGUAGGGUCGGGCGAGCGGGGUCGGGAGAGGAGCUGGAGAGGGAGGUGGUCUGGAGCGUCGGGGCGGGUGAAGCGGCGGUGGUUGCGGGGCGUCUGGAGCGGCGGCGGCUGCGGGGAGUCUGGCGCGGCGGCACCUGGAGAGAGGAGCAGAGGGAGCGUGGUGCGGCGGGCGUCGGAGCUGGAGAGCAGUAGUCUUCCCUUCCCUUCCCUUCCUUUCUCUUCUCCCUCUCACUCGUCCAGUCCGCCGUCGGUUCCACGAGCGUCUAAGCGGCCGCUACAGCAGGCUGGAACCGGAGGCUCACGAACACGAGACGGACGAGGCGCGGGUGCGUUACCGGACGAGUCCUACGGCGGGAGAGGGGACGAGGUUGGGAUUAGGGGAGGGGAGGGGAGGGGAGUUCGACAACGAGGAAAACCAGUGCGUCCACGUGCUUGUGCAGGGACGAGGAGACCACCUGUUCCAGCCAAGGCUAGACCUACUCAUCGUUAACGAUGUCCACCUGCUCCGUGCUCGGGAGUACCGAGGAGGAAGGAGGAUGGGGGUGGGGGGACUUGUACUAAGGUCAAAGAUUAAUCGCCAGUUCCUCAUCUAUUGACGUGUUGAAACCUGUACGUACUCCGUCACCAACAAUUUUUCUAUCUACUGACAUUGUUUAUUACACACUCUUGUUCCUCGGUUUUUAUAACCUUUUGCUGGUAUUCUAUCUAUUGUCUAAGUCACUAAACCAAUAAUACCUCCAACUACCUUGAACCAGAUGACAGCCUUAAGUCUCGGUAUUUCGUAACCUGAACCUGUUCUCGAGAAGGUACCGUCGUUGGUCGUCAGGUUCCGGUUCGUUCGAUAGAGUUCCCUCCCCUAAGAGUUCAGUGGGGUGAAGGUUAGGUACCUGCGAUAGGUGUUCCUGGUUCUACUGCUGCUGGUCCUUCCUUCCUCGGGUGCGGGCUGGGGCUGCUGCCGCCAAGGUAAACACACGGCUGCAGCUGGUGUUGGAGGGAGAGAUAUUAUACUUGUCGCCCCCCGCAGACUCGGACGUCAGCCUCAUCAUGACUGCAUUGUAAACGUCUUGUGGCUGUGCCGCAGUCGGUGGACGUCGACGACCCGUCUGUUGUACUGCUGUUCCUCGUGCGUCUGUCGGUGUUGGAAGUGAGAGAGGAAGAAGGGUCAGGGGAGGUAACUAUUACCUAAGAAGGAGAACGGACACUGUUGAAAACAACCCAGCUGCCGGGGAGAAAUAUGGCUUCUCUACUAGCAUGAAUACCUUUGAGUUUACGGAGCGUGACGACGGCCUAGUUCCUACCUCACUUGAUUUUGUGAAACGAUAAUGUUGAUCGGGAGGGACAAGGUACUUAGCUGUCCCCUUCUUAACCGUUACAAUUUAACCACUCUUCUCUCGUUCUCCUUCUACUACUCAAGUGUACCUUUUCCAAGUCUAAGGAAAUGACGUACAUGGGGGUAAUGUGGGUGUUGGGGUGGAAACGGAAAUAAUAACGUGAUUAUACAACUACCCAGAAGAAAGAGUAAUAUUAGUCAAGUUUAAAUCCAGCACUCUUGUGACUCAAAAGUUUUUAAAUCCAACACCCGUAUGUACAAUGAUAUUAAUAUAACAAAGCAGUCUACACAAACGAGUUUAAUAUCUCCCAGCAUACCUAGGGAGGAGGAUACGGCAGUAGUACUCUCCUCUCCCUCUUGCCGACGUGAUACAACUACACAUCUUUAAGGUCCUAAAGACCUGUGGCUCACGAGGGGGUUAACGUGCUCUACCCCUCCACCUACUGUAGGGACACCUAAUGGUAGAUGCUUCUUACCAGAUGUACUAAAAAAAAGAAGUAGUACACAAAGACACACGUUGUUCUUAGUCACUAACGAAUAGACGACCAAUCGACCAUGUCUACCUCAGAUAAAAAUAAGAGUCAUCACUCUGAAGUUUAUCUAUGGUGAUGAUAUAUAAAUCAAUUUAAACCGGUUCAUUGUACACACAACGUGGAGAGUACCUGAUGCUUCUCGUAUUUGCCCCGACUAUCACACGAUGUUUGUACGUACGUAGAGUUCGCUGAACGCUAUACAAGUCGCCUAGUGGUACAGUUCCUUACUCGUCAAUUUAUUCUCAGAGAAGCUGUUUUCAUUCUCCCUCAUAAAGUAUUGACUUGUACAAAAUACAUGUUAGACAAUGACUAACCGUAACAUUUUUUGCGUCUCUUUUUACUUCGGACUCCUGCGAUAGUCGGAAAGGACAGUUCAUAACCGGUGAUGAUAGACGUAAUCGAAGUGGAGUCUUGUACGGGAAAAAGUGAACCUCUCUCCUUCAUCCUCAAGAGUCACUACUAGUAGAUGUUCUAUGGUAUGUACAAACAACUAACUGAUUGUUUCUGUUUCCGGCAUGGCAAUAACUACAAAGAUAUCGUAACAAAGGUCGACGACAUUGUGGACAAAAAUGUGAACGUUCAUACUUGAUAAACCGAUAUAAAAUAUCUUGAAUACAUGGCUACAUCUUACCAUAUAGUACGAAAAUAUGAAAUACUAUAUGGAAAAGCAACAUCAUAAAACCUUUCAACGUUACGAGUUGUAAACAUAUCUGAAGAUAGUAUUACUAGGAGAGGAACGGUCAACCGUUACUAAAGAAAAACAUGGUAACGAGUAUACUAGAAUAGUUACAACUUCCAUGUAUACAAAUCUAUGU